GAUGAAACUUAAAUGAAUUCUUCGGAAUGAUUUUAAUUGGAUUAGUGGCGAACGGGUGAGUGACGCGUGAGUAACCUGCCUUACACAAGGGGAUAGCCUCUGGAAACGGAGAAUAAUACCCUAUGAAACUAUCUUAUCGCAUGAAAAGAUAGUCAAAGUGUUUUAGCGGUGUAAGAUGGACUUGCGUCUGAUUAGCUAGUUGGUGAGAUAACAGCCCACCAAGGCAACGAUCAGUAGCCGGCUUGAGAGAGUGUACGGCCACAUUGGGACUGAGACACGGCCCAGACUCCCACGGGAGGCAGCAGUGGGGAAUUUUGCACAAUGGGGGCAACCCUGAUGCAGCGACGCCGCGUGAUUUAGAAGGCCUUCGGGUUGUAAAAAUCUUUUGUAUAGGAAGAAAAUGACAGUACUAUACGAAUAAGGUCCGGCUAAUUACGUGCCAGCAGCCGCGGUAAUACGUAAGGACCGAGCGUUGUCCGGAAUCAUUGGGCGUAAAGGGUACGUAGGCGGUUAGAAAAGUUAGAAGUGAAAGGCUAUAGCUCAACUAUAGUAAGCUUUUAAGACUGUUUAACUUGAGAGAUGGAAGGGAAAGUGGAAUUCCUAGUGUAGCGGUGAAAUGCGCAGAUAUUAGGAGGAAUACCGGUGGCGAAGGCGACUUUCUGGCC
rnacentral:rRNA from 2 species